rnacentral:rRNA from 1 species
UACGGGGGGGGGCAAGCGUUGUUCGGAAUUACUGGGCGUAAAGGGCUCGUAGGUGGCCAACUAAGUCAGACGUGAAAUCCCUCAGCUUAACUGGGGAACUGCGUCUGAUACUGGAUGGCUUGAAUCCGGGAGAGGGAUGCGGAAUUCCAGGUGUAGCGGUGAAAUGCGUAGAUAUCUGGAGGAACACCGGUGGCGAAGGCGGCAUCCUGGACCGGCAUUGACGCUGAGGCGCGAAAGCCAGGGGAGCAAACGGG